GGGAGCGACUUGGCUUCGACAAGAGUAAGUCUGCUUAGAUGGCAUGUCGCUUUGGGCAAAGCGUAAAAAGCCCAAAUAAAAUUAAACGCAAACAACGUUAAAUUCGCUCCUGCUUACGCUAAAGCUGCGUAAGUUCAGUUGAGCCUGAAAUUUAAGUCAUACUAUCUAGCUUAAUUUUCGGUCAUUUUUGAUAGUGUAGCCUUGCGUUUGACAAGCGUUGAGGUGAAAUAAAGUCUUAGCCUUGCUUUUGAGUUUUGGAAGAUGAGCGAAGUAGGGUGAAGUAGUCAUCUUUGCUAAGCAUGUAGAGGUCUUUGCGGGAUUAUUUUUGGACAGGGGUUCGAUUCCCCUCGCUUCCACCA
rnacentral:tmRNA from 1 species